UAUCCAUUCUAAAUGUCAUAGUUUGCACCUACUAACCCCAAAAGACUUGUUUUAUUUUGGUUUACCUAGUAUAUCUCUCAGUUUUACCCUGAGAAAAUAAUAAUAAUUGUGAUAGAAGAGAGUAUUAUGGAGAAGCCAUUCGCCAGGUAAAGCGCUAAAAUACAUGACUUUAAUUCAAAUACAUCUAGAGAGCAGUUUUAGAUUUACAGGAAAAUUGUGAAUGUCAUUCAGAAAGUUUCCACAUACACCACACAGUUUGCCCUAUUAUUACAUUUUAUAUUGUGGUGGAUAUCUGUGAGAACUAAAGGACUGAUAUGGAUCCCCUAUAUUUUUUUUAACAUUUUAGCCGCACCCUCAGCACAUGGAAGUUCCCGGGAUCCAAGCUGCAGCUGCGACCUCUGCUAUAGUUUUCAUCUACGCUGGAUCCUUAACCCAGGGCACCACAGAGGAACUCCAUGGAGCCAUUCCUACUGGCUGAAGUCCAUACUCUUUUUGAAUAGCCUUAGUCUUCCCUAAUAUCCCUUUUCUGUCCCAGGAUCCCAUCUAAAGUCACAUUUGGUCUCCUGGUCUCCCUGGCUCUUCUCUUCUGUGAGCUUCUCAGUCUACCCUGGUAGGUUGUGUUGUCACAUUCUGCAUCCCAUCCCAGGAAUCUAGCAUGGCAUCUCCAUCUUCAACAUGAACCACGGAAGUAAGAACCUUAAGGAUCUUUAUUCAGCAGACGAGGAAACUGAGGCACAGAGCGUUUAGGUCGCUCGAGGCUCAGCAGCGUCUAAGGAGUGGAGGUGGAACCUCAGGUCAUAUUUUUUUUGUCUUUUAAAUGAUUUUUAUUCUUUCCAUUAUAGCUGGUUUACAGUGUUCUGUCAGUUUCUACUGUACAGCAGAGUGACCCAUUCAUACAUACAUUUAUACAUUCUUUUUCUCACAUUCUCUUCCAUCAGGCUCCAUCACAAGUGACUAGAUAUAGUUCCUAGUACUAUAUGGCAGAAUCUCAUUGCUUAUCCAUUCCAAAGGCAAUAGUUUGCAUCUAUCAACCCCAGAUUCACAGUCCAUCCCACUCCCUCCCCCUCCCCCUUGUCAAACACAAGCCUGUUCUCCGAGUCCAUGAGUUUCUUUUCCGUAGAAAGGUUCAUUUAUGCCAUAUAUUAGAUUCCAGAUAUAAGUGAUAUCAUAUGGUAUUUGUCUUUCUCUUUCUGACUUAUUUCACUUAAUAUGAGUCUCUAGUUCCAUCCACGUUGCUGCAAAUGGCAUUAUUUUGUUCUUUUUUUUGGCUGAGUAAUAUUCCAUUGUGUAUAUGUCCCACAUCUCUUUAAUCCAUUCAUUUGUCGAUGGACAUUGAAGUUGUUUCCAUGUCUUGGCUAUAGUGAAUAGUGCUGCAAUGAACAUACAGGUGCAUGAAUAUUUUUCAUUUUUUUAGGUCAUAUUCAUGUUUCCUAAAUUGGAGAUUAAUAGUCUCUUUAAAAAGGUAAACCCCAAUUCCCUUUUUAAAAGACACACCCAAAGACAAUGCUUACAAACAGAGGGCGGGCUGGAGGUGGAGGUGUGUGGUUGGAGGAGAAGGACCACCGGAGCCUCCCCCCAUCCCACCCCUGGAAGUGACACUCAGCCAUGUCCUCUCUGCCAUGUCCCAGAGAGAGGGCCCUCGCACACCGCCAAGGCAGGAGAUGACCAGGACAGUGCAUGGUUUCCCUGGGUGUCCGAGUCCCGGGAGGGUCCAAGCUGACUUAGUAAGGGAUGUGUGCUUUCAAGGCAGGUGCUCUAUUUGCCUUGCCCUGACUUACUAGGAUUUUCCAGAGAAGCAGAAGCAACAGGAUGUGUACACACACACAAACACACACAAUCUUCGUCUCUCUGAGACCACACUCAUAAAGGCAUGGGGGAGUCAUUCUUCAGCAGGGACUGGUUCAUUGCCCAUGGGCUCUGGGAAGCCCCACACCUGCAGACUGCACACUUGGGAGACCGUGGUGCCAGGGGAGUGGGGGCCAAGGCCAUCAGCCAGAGGGUCCCAUCUGGCUUGGGAAGCAGGAUUCUGUUCUUCUCAGGCCUUCCGCUGAUGGCAUGGGGCCCUCCUACAGAGGGAGGCACUUGGCUUUACCAGAGUCACCAGUUUACAGGUUGACCUCAUCCCUCAGUGCCCUCCAAGCUGACCAUUAAAUCCCCCACUGCCCUGGAGGUGGCUGAGCCCUGUCCUUCCAGCGGACAACUGUGAGGGAGAAGGACCCCCUUUAGGAAUGCCAAGCAAAGAGACCCCAUUUCGGUGGUGUUAGUGCACCUGUGAGUCAAAGACCCCACAAAGGUCUAUGCGAAGGAAGAAAGUGCUUUUCAAAAAAACAAGCAACUUCACGACCUGCCUACGAGGCUGUGGCUUCUGAUCUGAGCAGACAAGGGGAUUAUUUACUAAACAGAAUAUAUGGACACAUCAAUGAGACAGCCAGUCUUUUGUUUUUUGCUUUUUCAGGGCUGCACCUGCAGCAUAGGGGGGUUCCCAGGCUAGAAGUCAAAUCAGAGCUGUGGCUAACGAUCUACACCACAGCCACAGGAACUCCAGAUCUGAGCUGCAUCUGUGACCUACACCACCGCUCUCGGCAAUGCUGGAUCCAUAACCCACUGAGUGAGGCCAGGGAUCAAACCUGCAACCUCAUGGAUGCUAGUCGGAUUUGUUCCGCACCACAACGGGAACUCCGAGACAGCCAGUCUUCACAAGGUAAGCUAUGAUUGCAAGAACAGUGUCAUUGCUUUUGCCUCCCUUGAGAUGGCUUCCCGGGGACGAGUGGUCAUGCCGGCAGCUCGCCAGCUGCCCCGUGCUCUCCUGUGCCCUCGAAGAUCAAAGUCUGCCCUGAGACUGCCCACAGCAGUUUGCGUGGACUCACUCAUUGGAGGAUUGGUGGACAUGUUAUUGAAAUGUCCCCACAAUGCAGGUGAGGCUGACAACCUGGUUUUCUCAGAGGCAGUGUGGCCUCCAGGGGGAUCAGUUCAUGGUUUCUGAGUGAAUGAAGUUAUUAGAGACAGUUACAUCCAAACCUCCAUCCUGAAUGAAGGCAGAAGCAGGCUGAGCUCAGAAUAGGAGGUGCCCUUCAGAAUUCCCUGGGCCUUUUUCAGCUUCUAGGAGACUUAGAAUUUCAACUUCCAGCACAGCUUAGAAUUGGCAACUGGCUUUAUUUUUUUCAUUUUUAUUUUAUUCUUUUCUUUUUAGUUUUUUACAGCCCAGGGGUUGAAUCGGAGCUGCAGCUGCCAGCCUACACCAUAGCCACAGCAACGCUGGAUGCUUAACCCACUGAGCGAGGCCAGGGAUCCAACCCACAUCCUCACAGACGCUAUGUUGAGUUCUUAACCCACUGAGCUACAACAGGAAUUCCCUAUUAUUAUUAUUUUUUAAUUAAAGUAUAGUUGAGGAGUUCCCGUCAUGGCUCAGCAGGUUAAGAAUCUGACUAGUACCUAUGAAGAUGUGGGUUCAAUACCUGGCCUUGCUCAGUGGGUUAAGGAUCCUACGUUGCCACAAGCUGCUGUGUAGUUUGCAGAUGCAGCUUGGAUCCCGCUUGGCUGUGGCUGUGGUGUAGGCUGGCAGCUAUAGCUCGGAUUCGCUCCCUAGCCUGGGAACCUCCACAUGCUGCGGGUAUGGCCCUAAAAAGAUGAAAUAACUAACUAACUAACUAAAUUAAUUAAUUAAAAUACAGUGGAUUUACAAGGUGUGCCAAUUUCUGCUGGACAGCAAGGUGACCCAUCAUUCCUUUUCUUCUAUGACAUUUGAUUAUCAUUUGCCAUUUCUUGGGCCACUUAUUUAUUUAUUUAUUUAUUUAUUUAUUGUCUUUUUUAGGGCCACACCCACGGCAUGUGAAGGUUCCCAGGCUAGGGGUUGAAUCCUAGCUGUAGCUGCCAGCCUACGCCAGAGUCACAGCAAUGCGGGAUCCAAGCCAUGUCUGCGACCUACACCACAGUUCAUGGCAACACCAGACUCUUAACACACUGAGAAAGGCCAGGGAUCGAACCUGCAACCUCAUGGUUCCUAGUUGGAUUCGUUAACCACUGCGCCACGAAGGGAACUCUGACAAUUGAUUAUAUUGAUCAAUGAUAAUAAUUAUCGAUUUCUUUUUGGAUUUUAUGUUAAUAGUGUUUCCAAACACUCACAAAAGUAGGGGAGAAUUCAAUGAAGGUGCCCAGCACCUGCUUGGACAACUCUCAUUGCCAGUCUAGAUUCGUGUAUAAACUCUCCUGCACCCUUCCCCUUCCCCAACUCCCGCAGAAGCAUUUCAAAGCAGAUCCCAGGUGUAGCAUCACCUUAUUUGUAAAUACCGCAGUAUGUUCCUUUAACAGGUGAUAUCUUACAAUGAAACUAUAAUAGCAUUUUUACACCCAACAGAACUGAAAAUAAUUCCUUAGGAUGAUCGUAUACCCAGUGUGGGUGAAAAUCUCUAAUUUUCUCAAAAAUGUCUUUCUGGAUUUGGUUGAUUUGAAUGAGGGCCCCCAAGGCUACUACGUGGUCUAGGUUGGUGUGUUUCUCAGUUUUUUCCCACAUGAGCCUCUGCUGCAUCUCCAUCUCCUGCCCCCACCUCUUGGCCUCCUAUGGGCUCCUGGGCGGGGUGGGGACUCCGCAGAGGAGACGGGACCAUGUUCUGCACUGGGAGGGCAUCUUCCAGGCACUGCCACUUGUGCUUGGGGAUCAGAUCUGGAGGCCUGGUGAGAAGGAAGCACUUUCUCCCAUGUUUCCGGCAAGUAGGAGAGCUCGGGUUGUCUCGCGUGCACCCCUGGCCAAACACCAGAGCCACCUGUUACCUGCCUGCAUGGGACCAUGUCUGCGCCCUGAGUUUAAACGUGGUCGGCCUGCCCAGGCUUCUCCUUCAAGGGUUUUUACAGUCACUGAGGACAGUUGCCUGGAUCCGUUGUCUCCUUAGGGACCACGGAGGGGUGAAUUUCUAGUCCUGUCACUGCUUCAUUCUUUAAUAACUAGAGUUCUUCCUAGAAAGAAUUUUCCACUGUGACCUGUACGGAUACUUGAAAUAUGUUUGCAUGGAAAAUGGAAGAUGAGGGCUGGAUUCUUUCCUUUUAUUUUUCAGUUGUUAAAAUAAUGAGGUGAUACCUCAGCCAUUUCUGAGAAGGACCAAUUCCAGUGAUUUUCCUCUCAGAGCAUUAGGAAUGCAGGGGAUUUUAUGGAUUUGAUAUGUUUUAAUUCAUUGCAAUUUAUUUUCAUUAUUUUUAAUCUUAUGCUCAGAACAACUCACCUUUUGGUUUGUUUAUUUUUUUAGGGCCGCACCCACGGCAUAUGGAGGUUCCCAGGCUAGGGGUUGAAUCAGAGCUGCAGCUGCCGGCCUACACCACAGCCACAGCAACACCAGAUCCCAGCCACGUCUUUGACCUACACCACAGCUCACGGCAAUGACGGAUUCUUAACCACCUGAGUUUGGCCAGGGAUGGAACCCAUGUCCUCAAGGAUACUAGUCGGGUUCAUUUCCACGGUGCCACGACGGGAACUCCCAGAACAUGUCAUCUUGAUUGAUGCAACUCUUUCAGGCUGAGUCCUUGAUGAAACUUUGUGGUCAUUGGCAGCCUUAUGCUUUCUGGCCAAAGGAGCUGUUUGCUCUUAUCUUGAAGACUUCCUUGGGUUUGAAGCACCGUUCUUGUCAGGAUCAGAUGGUCCUCAGAAGCCACCAUUGCGUGUGAGCUUUGCCAAAUGCUCCAGAUCGUCACUCCGUCUGUCUAUGUGGCCUUUACGGUGAUCGCAGCUAGGAAAUAGGUCUGUAUUAUAAGAAUAAGAAACAUAAAUUCUGAACCCAUAGCAACAUUUCCAAUUCAAAUUUUAAGAUGAUAGAAAUUUUACCUGUUAUUGAUUUUCUACUUAUACCUUUCUUCUCUUCACUAAAAAUCUUCCUCUGUAACUUUAUUAACAUAAUUGCUCAUUUAUUUCAUAAUUAAAAAAAAUCAUCUGCAUAACUCAGGGUUUGCUCAAAUGUGUAGGAAUUUCAAAAUAAUAUCAUCAUUAUUAUUAGUGGCUAUAACCGCUUACUGUGUUUGAAAUCUCUGUGUGUUUUGUCCUCGGAAUAUAUUGCAGUAAAAUGAUGGCAUUUCCAAGUCAGCGAAAUGAUUUCUUCUCUUUAUGGUGUGGUCACUAACUUGUUUCAUUGAAUUUUUGGUUUGACUUUAUUUUGGUUUUGGAUGGUGGUGGGGUGGGAGAGGGCCAGGCAGGCAGGUGGGUCCCAGGUCACCUCUGUUAGGGUCCCCAUCCUCCAAGUCCCCUCUGGGAACAGCUCGGGCUUCACCUCCUUGCUCCCCUCCAGACCCCCAGGGGACGCACCAGAAAGGUUUGGGGAGAGGCCUCUGUGUGGGUCAGUACUUUCCCGUUCUGCUCACGCACAGCCCUGGCUAAACUGACCCUAAGUUAUACUUCAGGUCAGAUACUAAGGUUGAUCCUAAGUUCAAACCCAAACCCAGGUCAGCUGGGAAUCCCAAGUUUUCACACAGCAUCGGAUACUUAAAAGUGGCCUGAAUCCGGGUCUCUGAAUGCCCAAGAGCACCCCCUCUUCUGGAUGGUGCCUAGUCUCCCAGCCCCUGGUCGACACGAACUGAAGGUGAUUCAGAAUAUCUGCUCCAUCCCGGACACACCUCGCGGGCCUGGGUACCAGUUGGUGUUGCUCUUCCUGCUCCUCUGCUGAGGGUUGUGGCAUGGGUGACACUGCCCUCUGCUCUCCUUCUCGUCCUGGAGGGCUGCUGGUCUUGGAGGAGCAGAAGGAGGGGCCCUCACCUCCUCCUUCCUACCUCAUCCCACCACGUUCUGUCUGGAGGGCUGAGGCUCUUCUGUUCGGUUGCCCCAAUAUGUCAUAAAUACUGCCCAGUCCUGGGGCUGCAGGAGUUCCUCCCAGAGGCCCAGGGCAUCCAGCCCCAGUGCUCUGGGGCCCUCUCCGGGCACCAAAAUUGAUCUUCUGAAGGCCUUACCCAGCCAGUGGAGAGGGUGGGCAGUCAGUGCCUCAAGAUCACGCAGAGGGUGCUAUUAAAGCUGUUUUAGGAGUUCCCGUUGUGGCUCAGUGGUGAUUAACCCGACUAGGAAUCAUGAGGUUGCAGUUUCGAUCCUUGACCUUGCUCAGUAGGUUAAGGAUCUGGCAUUAUAGGUUGCAGACGCAGCUCGGAUCUGGUGUUGCUAUGUCUGUGGUGUAGGCCAGGAGCUACAGCUCCGAUUUGACCCUUAGCCUGGGAACUUCCAUAUACUGCAGGUGCAGCCCUAAAAAGAAAAAAAAAAAA
rnacentral:lncRNA from 1 species